UACGAAGGGUGCAAGCGUUAAUCGGAAUUACUGGGCGUAAAGGGUGCGUAGGCGGUUCGUUAAGUCUGUCGUGAAAUCCCCGGGCUCAACCUGGGAAUGGCGAUGGAUACUGGCGAGCUAGAGUGUGUCAGAGGAUGGUGGAAUUCCCGGUGUGGCGGUGAAAUGCGUAGAGAUCGGGAGGAACAUCAGUGGCGAAGACGGCCAUCUGGGACAACACUGACGCUGAAGCACGAAAGCGUGGGGAGCAAACAGG
rnacentral:rRNA from 1 species